UACAGAGGGUGCAAGCGUUAAUCGGACUUACUGGGCGUAAAGGGCACGUAGGCGGCAUUACAAGUUAUUUGUGAAAGUCCUGGGCUUAACCUGGGGAUGGCAAAUGAGACUGUGGAGCUAGAGUCAGGCAGAGGGAAGCGGAAUUUCCGGUGUAGCGGUGAAAUGCGUAGAUAUCGGAAGGAACACCAGUGGCGAAGGCGGCUUUCUGGGUUUAGACUGACGCUGAGGUGCGAAAGCGUGGGUAGCGAACAGG
rnacentral:rRNA from 1 species